AACUGUGAAUGAUGAUCAUGUUUAAACAUUGGGAAUCUCUCUGAAUCAGAGUGAAAGAAAACUGUUUUCUGACGCAGAG